rnacentral:misc_RNA from 1 species
GAUGAAGAACGCAGCGAAAUGCGAUAAGUAGUGUGAAUUGCAGAAUUCAGUGAAUCAUCGAAUCUUUGAACGCACAUUGCGCCCUUUGGUAUUCCUUAGGGCAUGCCUGUUCGAGCGUCAUUUAAACCUUCAAGCUAAGCUUGGUGUUGGGUGACUGUCCGCUUCACGGCGGACUCGCCUCGAAAUUAUUGGCGGCCGGUACAUUGGCUUCGAGCGCAGCAGAAACGCGAACUCGGGCCCGUCGUAUUGGCUCCCAGAAGCUAUCUUCACAAUUUUGACCUCGGAUCAGGUAGGGAUACCCGCUGAACUUAAGCAUAUCAAUAAGCGGAGGA